rnacentral:rRNA from 1 species
UACGAAGGGUGCAAGCGUUAAUCGGAAUUACUGGGCGUAAAGGGUGCGUAGGCGGUUAGUUAAGUCUGUUGUGAAAUCCCCGGGCUCAACCUGGGAAUGGCAAUGGAUACUGGCUGGCUAGAGUGUGUCAGAGGAUGGUGGAAUUCCCGGUGUAGCGGUGAAAUGCGUAGAUAUCUGGAGGAACACCGGUGGCGAAGGCGGCAUCCUGGACCGGCAUUGACGCUGAGGCGCGAAAGCUAGGGGGCAAACGGG